GAAAUGCGAAACGUAGUGUGAAUUGCAUAAACCUGUGAAUCAUUGAAUCUUUGAACGCACAUUGCGCUCUGCGGCGGUUCCGCGGCGGAGCAUACCUGGGUGAGAAUUGGAACACACACUGGCCAGAGGGUUCUGGCUGAGCUGGGGUGCUGACGCGGGCGUGCGUAGUAAUGCGUGCGUCGGGGUCACGCUCUCAAAAGGAUGGUGCGGCGGCAGGAGCGAAGCGUGACAAGCAUGGGCUGUGGCUCAUCAAGCGCUGAUCGAGUGCAAUGCUGCAAUAUCAGUAGCAGUGUAGUGUGUUAGGUGUCAAGUUGGUGCUUCCACCAAUUUCAAACCACGCAUACUACAGUCAUUUACUACAACCACACAUACUAUAUCAAUCUCACACAGGCAAGAGUAC
rnacentral:misc_RNA from 1 species